CAGGCACCCGAUAACCGUUCCUAGAUUGCCCUUGGAUCGGGCUGGUUUCCUAAGCCUAAGGAGACUGUUUUUGUUUCUGAGGUCCUGCCGCUCUGACUCCAGUGUUCCGAAACAAAGUUGGAGACUCGUGAAAUAAGACACUAAAACCCCAAAUUUGAAAUUGUGAAAAGUUUAGGCCAAAGAGAUAAAAUAAAAACAGCUGUUGGGAAUGAAAAAAUGGCUGUAAGAAUUUAGUUACAAGUACUUCACAAAAACAUUUCAUCACAUGUAGAUAACGCAGCAGUACAAUAGAAAGCCAUCUCCUGUCCUGAGCAAGCAAGCCCUCUCACCAUCUAACAAAAAUAAUUUAGAUGCAUUUCUUUGCAUGGAAUUGUCAUAUAUGUUUACACUUUGGUACAAAACAUAGAAAAAAAAAACAUUGGCACAUUACGUAGCGAUAAGUUGUCUCUUUCUUCCCCAUGUACCAAUUUCCACAUACUCCAAGGUCCAAUGUUCACUUGGAAAAAAAAAUGUAGCUACUGAUUCUAUCAGUUCAGUUUCUAUACAUCUUUAAAAUGCAUCGUGGAGUACAGAUAAAAUAAAAGUAAGGUAUUUUGUUUA
rnacentral:lncRNA from 1 species